UACGUAGGGUGCGAGCGUUGUCCGGAAUUAUUGGGCGUAAAGAGCUCGUAGGCGGCCUGUCGCGUCGGAUGUGAAAGCCCGGGGCUUAACCCCGGGUCUGCAUUCGAUACGGGCAGGCUAGAGUGUGGUAGGGGAGAUCGGGAUUCCUGGCGUAGCGGUGAAAUGCGCAGAUAUCAGGAGGAACACCGGUGGCGAAGGCGGAUCUCUGGGCCAUUACUGACGCUGAGGAGCGAAAGCGUGGGGAGCGAACAGG
rnacentral:rRNA from 1 species